CAGGUUGAACAACAGAACUGUCAUUUUUUUUUUAAUUUACCAAACUUCUGGGCAAUCAAAAGUAUAAGAUUAUUUUUUCAUUGUUAAGAAUGAAAAAUGUCUUCACUUUCAUCUUUGCACAGCUACUGAAGAGCACCUCGCAGUGGUGUCAGAUUUUCAUCCUUGGCAGGUCAUUUUGGAAACAGUGAAAUUGGAAAUAGAUUUAGUUUGUGCCUGUCAGUCUAUGAGAGGACAGUGAUAUUUCAAGACCUACAUAAAUAUUUAUUUUCUUGAAAUUGCCUAUACGUGUCAAUCUUCAACAGAUGUUGACAUUCACUUUUGUUUGGAUUUCCUUAUGGUAAUUGCUGUGAGGUGGGAUGGGGUGAAAAGAGUUUAGGGUAGAAAGGACCAUAAGUCAGGCCACAUAAUGUUAAUAAGCUUCCUUGGACCACAUUUACUAUGCAGUGGGGGAUAAGUUAGAGUAAUUGGCCCCACUUUUUCCUUGAAAAAGAGGAGGACUAUUCGAAUAUCUCCUCCUCUAGCUUUCUAUGCUUCCUUGAAUCCUCUGCAUGUCUGAGAGGUGCCAUAUUUGCAAAAGUUUAACUUGAUAGUAAAUUGAAUUCUCUGAAAUUGAAGGAAGGAGAUGCCUUGGCAAGCCACGGAAGGCAGCAUGGUGUGGUCACCGGGAUAAGGUUUCCCAUCUCAGUGUUAUUUGUGAGCCUCUAAGUGCUCCUUGAUAAAAUGAGAAUGAUAAAUGCAACCUGUCCCAUAGGUAGUCUGAAGUCAACCCACAAAACGUUAUUGCCCAGAUCAGGUGAAGGAUUACGGCCCAAGGAUCUGGAUAUGAACUUCGCAUGAGCGGUAACUAAAGAUUUCCUCUUGGGAGGGACUUGUGGCCGCAAGUUAUAAUUAUCAGGCAUAGUGCUUUCCAAGCAUGCAUAUGCACGCAAGUCACUUGGAAAGCCAGUUACAAAUGCAGAUUCUAAUGCAAGAGGCCUGAGCAGAGGCCUGGGAUUCUGUAUUCCUCAUAAAUUCUCAGAGGAGCUGAUGUAACCCUCGAUAGUCUUUGGAACGGCUAGGCCCCUGUGAGCUUAGAAUGUGGGUGCCAAUUCAGAUUCUGAUACUCUUGGCUUGGGGCAGAGAUGGGCAAUGUCUUUUGUUUUUUAUUUGUUUGUUUUCUACUGUUGUUGGGGUAGUAUAUUUUUAAUUCCAGGACUGAAAACAAUUGUGGUAGACAAAAUAGAUAGGGAUUAUUUUGGCUGCCGAGUUUGUAUUUUGGGAGGCGGGAGAUGGAGGGAAGAUGCUGGGAAUUAACAGGAUUUAGAGCCAAAAACCCAGUCUCAAAUGUUAGUUCUGUAACUUGAAAUCUGCAAGACAGCCCUGAAACUCAGAGCUUGAGAUUGAAUGUCUUGGCCCUACAUAUUUACUGUGAGGAUUAAAUAAAAUAGUACAUGUGGCAUGCUUAGGGCAUUGCCAUACUGUCUGGCCUGUGGUAAGCUCUCAAAUCAUGGUAGUUAUUUUUGUCCCUUAAAAAAAAAAUGUUGGGUGGUAUAAAUGGGAUCCUGGGAUGAUAAUUAGUCAAACACAUUUGUUCAUGAUGCAAAGUACUGCAGUGACUCAACCAGACAGAGGCUCAAAGAAGAAAGGACAGUGACACAUAGAAAUAAUUUAGCUCUCUGUGGAAGGGCACGCAGUGGCUGUGGGUCCUUCAUAAAGGGAUCCUGAAUGAAUGAUGAGCAGCCAGGUGUGUGCAGUGGUGAGGCAGGCCCCAGUGAAGGAAGAGGAGGAGUUACUUCUCAACAUGUUUAAUCUGCAUUGCUGUGCACAGAAGGCAGCAGUGACCUAAAUAAAUCCUUCAUUAGAAGCAGAAACACACUGGCUCAGGCACUGCGCAGCAGAGCUCCGUGACAGGAGGGCGGACAGACGGGGCUUCUCUUAUUACUCAGUGCAACUGAGUGGAAGAGGGGCCCCAUAGCAGACAGGAGAGAGGAGCUGGGCUGCCCUGGGCCCACGCUGGGGUGCACGGCUUUGGCCCCUGCUCCAGGUGUGACUGAGCCUCUGAGAGGUACCAUCUUAGCUGAAGAAGCUGAAGAAGCUCCCCUGGCUGGGGUGGACGGUCAUCUAUCACCCUGCAGAUGGCACAGCCAAAACGUGGCUCUCUGCAAGCAAGGAAUGGGGUUUCAUGAAGAACCACUUCUGCUGACACCUUGAUCUUGAACUUCCAGCCUCCAGAGCUGUGAGAAAUAAAUGUCUGUUGUUUAAACCA